UACGUAGGGUGCGAGCGUUGUCCGGAAUUAUUGGGCGUAAAGAGCUCGUAGGCGGUCUGUCACGUCGGCUGUGAAAACCCGAGGCUCAACCUCGGGCCUGCAGUCGAUACGGGCAGACUAGAGUUCGGUAGGGGAGACUGGAAUUCCUGGUGUAGCGGUGAAAUGCGCAGAUAUCAGGAGGAACACCGGUGGCGAAGGCGGCGAUCUGGGUCGAUACUGACGCUGGAGGUGCGAAAGCGUGGGGAGGCAAACAGG
rnacentral:rRNA from 1 species